GGUAUCUAACAGUGUAGCGGUUAUCACUCGGGAUUCUGAUUUUGUGUUACAAAGUCGUUGCCACUUGUUUCCCGAAACCCAGGUUCGAAUCCUGGUAGCACCU